GAUGAACGCUGGCGGCGUGCCUAAUACAUGCAAGUCGAGCGACCACACAAUGAGCUUGCUCUUCUGACGUUAGCGACUGACGGGUGAGUAACACGUGGAUCACCUACUUCUAAGACUGGGAUAACUUCGUGAAACCGGAUCUACUACUAGCUCAUAUAUUCUACCGCAUGGUUCAGUAGUUCUUCACGGUUUUCCUGUUUCUUUUAGCUGAUUCCGCGCUGCAUUAGCUAGUUGGUAAGGUAACGGCUUACCAAGGCAACGAUGCGUAGCCGACCUGAGAGGAUGAUCGGCCACACUGGAACUGAGACACGGUCCAGACUCCUACGGGAGGCAGCAGUGGGGAAUAUUGCGCAAUGGGCGAAAGCCUGAAGGAGCAACGCCGCGUGAGUGAUGAAGGUCUUCGGAUCGUAAAACUCUGUUAUUAGGGAAGAAAAGAUGUGGAAGUAACUAUGCACGUCUUGACGGUACCUAAUCAGAAAGCAACGGCUAACUACGUG
rnacentral:rRNA from 1 species